AUUGCUUUCAGAUCUGAGUUCUCAUCAGAUUCUAUUGUUGGAAUGAAACACAGUUGUAUUGUUUUAGAGUGAAAGUAUGAAACAUGAUUCUAUUGUUGGAAUGGUUCACGCUUUUUUGGAAUGCAACACACUUUUUUUCUUCGUAAUUAGACCUCUUGGAUUGUAGAUACAUGUUUUAAUCAAUGAAAUGAAAGGGAUUUAGGGUUGAAUGAAACAAAAGUCUUGCGAUUUUAGUGUUUGUUGAUUUUGUAGAUUUUGUAUAUUUUAUAACAUUUGUUAAUUUUUCAGGUUUGUAUAUUUUUUAAGAUUUGCAGAUUUGGGAUUUUAAUGUUUGUUGAUUUUUCAGAUCUGCAGAUUUUUUAAGAUUUGUAAAUUUAUGGUUUUAAUAUUUGUUGAUUUUUCAGGUUUUUUAAAAUUUGCAGAUUUUGGAUUAUAAUUUUUUUGUUUUUUUUUUCUUUCAAAUUUACAUAUUU
rnacentral:lncRNA from 1 species